rnacentral:rRNA from 1 species
AGGGUGCAGGGCGGAUGCCUUGGCACUAGGAGCCGAUGAAGGACGUGAUAAGCUGCGAUAAGCUUCGGGGAGUUGCACGUAAACUUUGAUCCGAAGAUUUCCGAAUGAGGAAACUCACUUAGAGUAAUGUCUAAGUAUCAUUAAGUGAAUACAUAGCUUAAUGAGGGGAACUCAGGGAACUGAAACAUCUAAGUACCUGAAGGAAGAGAAAGAAAUUCGAUUCCGUAAGUAGCGGCGAGCGAACGCGGAUUAGCCCAAACCAAUAAAGUUUUCUUUAUUGGGGUUGCGGACAUAUCAUAACGAAGAGGUAUCGUAAUUGAAGAGGUUUGGAAAGACCCACCACAGAAGGUAAUAGUCCUGUAUGUUAAACGAGAAGACUUUAGAUAUGAUCCAGAGUACCACGGGACACGUGAAACCCUGUGGGAAGCAGGAGGGACCACCCUCCAAGGCUAAAUACUACCUAGUGACCGAUAGCGUAUAGUACCGUGAGGGAAAGGUGAAAAGAACCCCGGGAGGGGAGUGAAAUAGAACCUGAAACCCUGCACUUACAAGCUGUGGAAGCACAUUUCUUGUGUGACCGCGUACUUUUUGUAGAACGGGCCAACGAGUUACGUUAAGUAGCAAGGUUAAGCACUUAAGGUGCGGAGCCGUAGCGAAAGCGAGUUUUAACUGAGCGUUCAGUUACUUGACGUAGACCCGAAACCGGGCGACCUACCCAUGAGCAGGAUGAAGCGAAAGUAAAAUUUCGUGGAGGUCCGAACCCACGAGCGUUGAAAAGCUCGGGGAUGACUUGUGGGUAGCGGUGAAAUUCCAAUCGAGCCCGGAGAUAGCUGGUUCUCCCCGAAAUAGCUUUAGGGCUAGCCUCAAGGUGAGAGAUACGGAGGUAGAGCACUGAAUGUCCUAGGGGGUAUUGCACCUACCGAAGACUAUCAAACUCCGAAUGCCGUCAUCUUAUACUUGGGAGUCAGACUGUGGGUGAUAAGAUUCAUAGUCGAAAGGGCAACAGCCCAGAUCGUCAGCUAAGGUCCCUAAAUGUAAGUUAAGUGGUAAAGGAUGUGGGAUUGCACAGACAACCAGGAUGUUGGCUUAGAAGCAGCCACUCAUUCAAAGAGUGCGUAAUAGCUCACUGGUCGAGUGAUCCUGCGCCGAAGAUUUCCGGGGCUAAAACUUACUACCGAAGCUACGGCAUCAGUAAUGAUGGGUAGGGGAGCUUCCCAUACGGGUUGAAGCAUGACCGUAAGGACAUGUGGACAGUAUGGGAGUGAGAAUGUUGGCAUGAGUAGCGAGAUGUGGGUGGGAAUCCCACAGGCCGUAAACCCAAGGUUUCCAGGGGAAGGUUCGUCCGCCCUGGGUUAGUCGGGACCUAAGCUGAGGCCGAAAGGCGUAGGUGAUGGACAACAGGUUGAUAUUCCUGUACUACCGAUAACCGUUUGAGAGAAGGGAUGACACAGUAGGAUAAGCUAAGCACACUGUUGGUUAUGUGUGCCCAAGCAUUGAGGCAGUCAAAGUAGGCAAAUCCGCUUUGAUAAUGCUGGGAUGUGAUGGGGAGCGAAAUUUAGUAGCGAAGUAGCUGAUUUCACACUGUCAAGAAAAGUCUCUAUCGAGGUUAAAGGUACCCGUACCGCAAACCGACACAGGUGGGUGAGGAGAGUAUCCUAAGGCCAGCGAGAGAACUGUUGUUAAGGAACUCGGCAAAAUGACCCCGUAACUUAGGGAUAAGGGGUGCCACCAUCAGGUGGCCGCAGAGAAUAGGCCCAAGCGACUGUUUACCAAAAACAUAGGUUUCUGCUAAGUCGCAAGACGAUGUAUAGGAGCUGACGCCUGCCCGGUGCUGGAAGGUUAAGGGGAUCUGUUAGAGCAAUCGAAGCAGUGAACUUAAGCCCCAGUAAACGGCGGCCGUAACUAUAACGGUCCUAAGGUAGCGAAAUUCCUUGUCGGGUAAGUUCCGACCCGCACGAAAGGCGUAACGAUUUGGGCACUGUCUCAACAACAGACUCGGUGAAAUUGUAAUUCCGGUGAAGAUGCCGGAUACCUGCGACAGGACGGAAAGACCCCAUGGAGCUUUACUGUAGCUUGACAUUGGGUCUUGGUACUACAUGUACAGGAUAGGUGGGAGGCUUUGAAACCAGGACGCCAGUUUUGGCGGAGCCAUCCUUGGGAUACCACCCUUGUAGUACUGGGACUCUAACCAUAGGCCAUGAAUCUGGUCUUGGGACACUGUCAGGUGGGCAGUUUGACUGGGGCGGUCGCCUCCCAAAAGGUAACGGAGGCGCUCAAAGGUUCUCUCAGUACGGUCGGAAAUCGUACGUAGAGUGUAAAGGCAAAAGAGAGCUUGAUUGCAAGACAUACAGGUCGAGCAAGGAUGAAAAUCGGACUUAGUGAUCCGGUGGUUCUGCGUGGAAGGGCCAUCGCUCAACGGAUAAAAGCUACCCUGGGGAUAACAGGCUUAUCUCCCCCAAGAGUCCACAUCGACGGGGAGGUUUGGCACCUCGAUGUCGGCUCAUCACAUCCUGGGGCUGUAGUAGGUCCCAAGGGUUGGGCUGUUCGCCCAUUAAAGUGGUACGCGAGCUGGGUUCAGAACGUCGUGAGACAGUUCGGUCCCUAUCCGUCGCAGGCGUAGGAAAUUUGAGAAGACCUGUCCUUAGUACGAGAGGACCGGGAUGGACGUACCUCUGGUGUACCAGUUGUCCUGCCAAGGGCAUGGCUGGGUAGCUAUGUACGGAAUGGAUAAGCGCUGAAAGCAUCUAAGCGCGAAGCCAACUUCAAGAUAAGAUUUCCCACCGCAAGGGUAAGACCCCAGAAAGACUAUCUGGUUGA